CAAACCCCCGACACCUCCACCAUGCUUUCUUUAGAGAAGCCAAGGCUGAGCGGGGAAGCGAUUGAAGGAUUUUAGAACAAGACAGGAAUGCUACUCGUGAAAGGAUUGGUUUUCAGCCAGCGGGUGGCGAAUAUCUGACAUCCCUAUCCCGAGGAUGUGGUGCGGGUCGGUUCAAUCGAAUCCUUCAAGGUUGAUUUUGACUUUUAUUUGAAAACUAACGAUGCGCAGAAUGAAGGAGAGAAAGCAGGGGAACGGCUCUGGAGAUGUGGCGGUCAUUGGAAGAGCCAGUGCAGUACCAAAGGGCCGGACGGUCUCAUUCCGCACUGUAACAAUUCCGUGACCUUCAGCAGGAAGUCACAAAACUGGAUGUUCCCGGCAGCACAGCACCAGCAACAUUGAAACAGAUAAACGGUUUCAAACAGAAGUGUCGAGUGUGUAAACAUGGCUUCCAGACAGCAGGCCGAGAGUAGGACUGAAAAACACAUUUGUCCCAUUUGUCUGGAUUUCUUUCCCAAUCUCGUUCCACUGGAGUGUGGACACUACUCCUGCCGCACCUGUAUCACCCAGAGUUGGGAAAACUCCUGCCCGGAAUGUCGAGAGGUAGGAAACCUCGGGGUAAACCGCACCUUGACGAAUCCGGCCCGGGACGGUCGAAAGUUAAAGCUGGAUCCGAAAAAGAGGGCAAAUAGACUUCACUGUGAGGAACAUCAGGAAGAGCUGAAACUGUUUUGUGAAACUGACAAGAAAUUGAUCUGUCUGAUUUGUCGGGAUUCGCGGGAACACAAAUCUCACAACUUCAUGCCGGUCAAUGAAGCUGUUGAAAUCUACCAGGAUCAGUUGAAAUCUUCCCUAAGUUCUCUCACAGAGAAGAAAUCGGCAGUUCGAGAAAAGGAACUGACCCAGAAACGGAAGAUUUCCGAAGUGAGGGAACAGGCGAGCAGACUGCAGACCCACAUCACAUCCGAGUUCACGAAAAUGCACCAGAUUCUCACUGAGAAAGAGCAGCGUUUACUCAGAGAUCUCAGGGAAGAAGUGGACAGGAUUCUGGAACCAAUGGAGAGAAACCGUCAAGAGAUUCAGGACCAUUUAAGUUCUAUUGAGAAGGACAUUUCAAAACUGCAGAAAGAAAUAAGGCAAAAAGACGAGGUGGCAUUUCUGAUGGAGGAAGCUAACCAGAAGAUAAGGCUUGAUGAAGAACAACGAAUAAUGAAAAUAGAGGAUGGCAUAUUGUUGACAGGACAGUUCAAAGGGCCUGUGCAGUACAUAGCGUGGAGAGAAAUGAUAAACGUCAUCAAUCCAGCUCCAGCCUCUCUGACUCUGGAUCCGAACACAGCGCAUCCCCAGCUCAUCCUGUCUGAGGACCGGACCAGUGUGAAACAUGGAGACAAAUGGCAGCUGCUGCCUGACUCCUCGGAGAGAUUUGAUCCUUGCCCCUUUGUACUGGGAUCAGAGGGAUUCAAAUCAGGGAGACAUUACUGGGAGGUGGAGGUCGCGAACAAGACCGAGUGGAGAGUGGGAGUCGCCCGAGAGUCUGUGGACAGGAAAGGGGACAUAGACCCAAAACCUGACACCGGAUACUGGAUUUUGAGGCUGGUUGCUGGAAGUGUUUAUUUUGCAGCCACAUCUCCUUCACGGACCCCCGUCUCCCUAAAUGAGAAUCCCCGGAAGAUCGGGGUUUUCCUGGACUAUGAGGAUGGACAGGUAUCAUUUUACAAUGCGGACACCAUGUCCCACCUCUACACUUUCACUCACACUUUCACUGAGAGGCUCUUUCCCUUCUUCCACCCAGGAGGGAAUGACGAUGGGGAAAACUCCGCCCCGCUGACAAUCUCCGGGAUUAAAGGGCAUUGACAGAUCCAUCCCAUCCCCCUGCCUCCUGCCAGCUGUAAACUGAUGGGGGUCGGUCUCUGGUGGAGAGAGAGAAACCAGGUCAACAUUUUGGGAAGAAACCCUGCAUCAAAACUGGGAACCGAAAGAUCAGCAAAAAGCUCUGUAGGGUCGGGGAAAGAAGGAGGGAGAGAGAAGAAACAGAUAGAAGAUCAGUCGUACAGAGAGAAUUAGGAGUCAGAAGUCACUGUGAGCUCCGGGGACCUUCCUGCGUGUAAUAUUGUUCCAGACGGUGGCGCUACACGAUGGUGUUUGAGAUGAAUCGAUGCACUCCGAUGUCCAGCGAUACAUGAAUUCGAAACAGCAAAGGCAGUAACUGUGCAGGACAUUACAAGAGGGGAAUUGUCAGACCAUAAGAAAACUUGAUAGAUAACCAGUUCAGCAACAUUGGUCUUCAAACAUGGAAACAAAAAGCACCAUGCUCAGCAGGGAGCAGCUGUCCACGUAUUUUGUUGAUGGUUGAGGGCUAACCUGUUAAUACACAGCUACAAUCACAUCAGUGAGAAACUGUGUAAAUGGCGGGUGGGUGUGUGAUAAAUCAGUUCAUUACCUGAUUGCGCUGGGAGUUCAUUCAUAGUGGUGAGAUGAUGUUCACUUGCCCUGUUUGUGGAAAGGAAUUCACUGAUUCGUCCCACCUACUGAGACACCAGCGAGUGCACACUGGGGAAAGACCAUUCACCUGCUCCGUUUGUUGGAAGGGAUUCACUCAGUCAUCCCAUCUCCUGAGACACCAGCAUGUUCACACUGACAAAAGACCUUUUAACUGUCCUGAUUGUGAGAAGCCAUUUAAAAGUAAACAGGAUCUGCUGAGACAUCAACAUACUCAUACUGGUGAGAGGCCAUUCACCUGCUUAAACUGUGGGAAGGGAUUCACUAAUUCAUCCAACCUGCUGAAGCACCAACGAGUUCACACUGAUGAACGACCUUUUAAAUGCUCAGACUGUGGGAAGUGUUAUAAAAGCUCAGAGGAACUGACAUGCCAUCAACGUGUUCAUACUGAUAAAAGACCAUUCAGAUGCUCUGACUGUGGGGCUGGGUUCACCCGAUCAUCUCAACUUACUAUACAUCAACGCCGUCACACUGGAGAGAGACCAUAUAUGUGCUCCAUAUGCGGGAAGGGAUUCACUUGCUCAUCCCAUCUUACGACACACCAACGUAUUCACACCAAUAAGAGACCUUUCAAAUGUUCUGACUGUGAAGAGAGGUUUAAAAGCAGAAAUGAGCUGCUGACACACCAGCAUAAUCACACCGGUGAGAGACCAUUCACCUGUUCUGAUUGCGGCAAGGGAUUCUGUCGAUCAUCUCAUCUCCUGAUACACCAGCGAGUUCACAAUGGGGAGAGACCAUUCAUCUGCCCUGUGUGUGGCAAGAGAUUCACACAAUCAUCCAUCCUCCUGACACACCAGCGAAUUCACACUGGGGAGAGACCUUUCAUUUGCCCCAUGUGUGGGAAGAGAUUCACCCAGUCAUCCCACCUAUUGACACACCAGCUUGUUCACAAUGACAAGAGACCUUUUACAUGCUCUGACUGUGAGAGGAAAUUUAAAACGAAAAGAGACCUGCUGAUGCACCAGCGAGGUCACACUGGGGAGAGGCCAUUCACCUGCUCCACAUGUGGAAAGGGAUUCACCCAUUCAUCUCACCUGCUGACACACCAACGCACUCACACUGGGGAGAGGCCAUUCACGUGUUCUGUGUGUGACAAGGGAUUCACUUGUACGUCCCACUUACUGAGACAUCAAAGGGUUCACACCGGGGAGAGGCCAUUCACCUGCUCUCUGUGUAAGAAAGGAUUUACUCAAUCAUCCCACCUAAUAACACACCAGAGAGUUCAUAUGCAACAGCAGGGAUUGGAUUCUGCUGAUAAUGCUGUGAUUAAUAUCAAUCAGGACUGAAUCAUGUUCAUUCUGAAAUUUUGCAUUUAUUUCUGAGGAUGUUAGUAACCCCUCUAACACCAGUUGGAGUUAAUAUACUUUAUAAAUGUGAAAUAAAUCACCAGAGUUAAAAAAAUUCUUGUAGAUUGUUAUCCAUCCAUCCAAGUAUUUGGCAUCAGCUGGUUGGAACUCUGAAUGGUCAUCCUGGAAGAAAGUCAUAACAUCUAAAUAGAAAACCAACCGUGGACACUAUCCAGCAAAUUAAUUACCAUCCACAGCUUGUCCCUGUUAGAUAAAUUCAAGGAUUGCAUUCAUCCUAUAUUUACCUGAUCUUUACAUUUUGUGCAGUUCACACUG